AGAAGAGAGAAGGAGAAGGAGAGAGAGAGAAAGAGAAGGAGAGAGAAGGAGAGAGAGCGAUAGAAGGAGAGAGAUAGAGAGAAGGAGAGAGAGAAGGAGAGAGAGAGAGAGAGAGAGAAUGAGAGCGAGCGAGAGAAGGAGAGAGAGCGAGAGAAGGAGAGAGAGCGAGAGAAGGAGAGAGAGAGAAAGAGAGCGAGAGAAAGAGAGUGAUAGAGAGUGAUAGAAAGAGAAAGAGAGAGAUAGAGAGAGAGAAAGAGAAGGAGAGAGAAGGAGAGAGAAAGAGAAGGAGAGAGAGAGAAAGAGAAGGAGAGAGAAGGAGAGAGAGAGAGCGAUAGAAGGAGAGAGAGAGCGAUAGAAGGAGAGAGAGAGAGAGAGAGAGAGAGAGAGAGAAGGAGAGUUUAGAGA
rnacentral:lncRNA from 1 species